rnacentral:rRNA from 1 species
CAUUAUCGAAAAGCAAUCCGGGGGGGAAGACGACCGAGCGAAGUUUGGUAGAUCGUAGGGAUUGUCGCUGGCCUUCGGAAACGAAGGCAUGUGCACGUUCCGAGUUCUCCUUAGUCCUCGUUCGCUUCUCCUUUGGAAACCUUUCUUAACACCUGUGCACCUGUUGUAGGUCCCGCGAGGGAUCUAUGUUUUUAUCUACCCCAAACGUAUGUCUUAGAAUGUCCUUAAUGCGUCGAUCGGCCUGGCUAACGCCUCGUCGGCGACGGUAAAGAAUCAUACAACUUUC